ACGCUCGACACCUACGGGNGGCAGCAGUCGGGAAUAUUGCGCAAUGGAGGAAACUCUGACGCAGUGACGCCGCGUAUAGGAAGAAGGUUUUCGGAUUGUAAACUAUUGUCGUUAGGGAAGAAAAAGGACAGUACCUAAGGAGGAAGCUCCGGCUAACUACGUGCUAGCAGCCGCGGUAAUCUGAGCGGGCUGGCAAGGC
rnacentral:rRNA from 1 species